GCUUCCUCUUACUUAGCGGCGGACGGGUGAGUAACACGUGGGCAACCUGCCUAUGAGACUGGGAUAACUCCGGGAAACCGGGGCUAAUACCGGAUAAUUCUUUUCUACUCAUGUAGAAAAGUUGAAAGAUGGUUUCGGCUAUCACUUAUAGAUGGGCCCGCGGCGCAUUAGCUAGUUGGUGAGGUAACGGCUCACCAAGGCGACGAUGCGUAACCGACCUGAGAGGGUGAUCGGCCACACUGGGACUGAGACACGGCCCAGACUCCUACGGGAGGCAGCAGUAGGGAAUCUUCCGCAAUGGACGAAAGUCUGACGGAGCAACGCCGCGUGAGUGAUGAAGGUUUUCGGAUCGUAAAACUCUGUUGUUAGGGAAGAACAAGUACCGGAGUAACUGCCGGUACCUUGACGGUACCUAACCAGAAAGCCACGGCUAACUACGUGCCAGCAGCCGCGGUAAUACGUAGGUGGCAAGCGUUGUCCGGAAUUAUUGGGCGUAAAGCGCGCGCAGGUGGUCUCUUAAGUCUGAUGUGAAAGCCCCCGGCUCAACCGGGGAGGGUCAUUGGAAACUGGGAGACUUGAGUGCAGGAGAGAAGAGUG
rnacentral:rRNA from 1 species